GAGAUACAUGUAGUGGUGUGGUAGUCCUCGACCAAUCCCCAUUGCAAUGUAUCAUUGCAGCCCUUGCAAGAUUUUCCUAAUGAAGAUUCUCAGGAUUACAGAUCCUCUAGCAAGGAGACCAGACAGAUAGAAAUGACCAGAGCAGAGGACACACAGCUCCCCCC